GCAGCAAGGAAUAAUGUUGAAUGAGGAGUCGGGACACCUGGGUUGUCAUUUUGGCUCUGUGUAAAAUAGGCCGGGUGACCUUGGGUAUCUCUGAGUCCCAGCCUCCUUGUCUGUAAAAGGACUGGAUAGAACCUGAUGAUUUCUAAUCUUGGAGAUCUUCCAGCAUUUAGUUAGUGAAUUAGUUAAAAAGUUAAAAGGGAUUGCUUUCACUUUUAACCUUCAAAAUACAGUUAGCAUUGCAUCUGGUUGUAUCAGUUCUGGGAAUAUAAAGGACCAAUGACUUCUGGUCAUAGUGGAGUAAGAAAUAAACUCAGUCUUUUUCCUUUGCUUUUCUCCCUCCCUUCUGUUGAAAUCAGAAAGAUAAGGGCUGGGGGAAACCCUUAAAUCACCCUGGCCUGGUUAUGUAUCCCACCCUGUGAUUCUCACCUAAUUCAGAAAAGAUUCCCUUUGGGGCAGGACUCUCCUCUCUCUCAAGAUCUUUAAAGCUCAGAGUUUAUAUAAAGGAAUUAGAGAAAAGGGUUAACUGUGUUGGGUAGAUUCCCUCUGGAGGAGGGAUGGAAAAAUGCAGACUCCAGCUGCCCAGGAUGAGAAGGUGUGGAGUGACCGUCAUCUGCAUUUGGAAAGGAGAACCCACCGGGGUAGAAUUCAUUUCACACAAAGUACCAAGAAUUCCCAUAGGGACACCAUCUCUUCUCUGGUCAAUGAGUAAAUCCAGUUGGCCAAGACUGGGGCUCAGGUUGAAGACACACCUGAAUGAAGAUGGAAGAAAGGAAUUGAAGAUAUUCAACCUUGAGAAGUGAAGACUCCGGGGAAAUGUGAGCACCAUUCUCAAAUCUUAUUAUGUUCAAGAAUUUUGUUCUGUUUGGCCCCAGAAUGAAGAGCUAAGAUGACCUCCAAGGUCCUUUCCAACUCUGAGAUUCCAUGACUCUACGGUUACUGUUCAGUAACUGUUCAGUUGUUUGCAACAAACCUCCUAUCUUUAUCUAUCUUAUAGGACCCAAAAGGCCAAGGGCAAUAACUUUUUAGGGGAACCAGGGAGCAAUGAAAGCUGUAAUUUCCUUCUUGGAACAGAAAAAUAAAACUCCUCUCUAAAAUGAGGGAUAUGCA
rnacentral:lncRNA from 1 species